rnacentral:misc_RNA from 1 species
GAUGAAGAACGCAGCGAAAUGCGAUAAGUAAUGUGAAUUGCAGAAUUCAGUGAAUCAUCGAAUCUUUGAACGCACAUUGCGCCCCCCAGUAUUCUGGCGGGCAUGCCUGUUCGAGCGUCAUUUCAACCAUCAAGCCCUGCUUGUGUUGGGGUCCUGCGGCUGCCCGCAGGCCCUGAAAACCAGUGGCGGGCUCGCUAGUCACACCGAGCGCAGUAGCACAUCUCGCUCAGGGCGUGCGGCGGGCUCCAGCCGUUAAAGCACCCACCUUUCGCAAGGUUGACCUCGGAUCAGGUAGAAAUACCCGCUGAACUUAAGCAUAUCAAUAAGCGGAGGA